CCUACGGGAGGCAGCAGUGGGGAAUAUUGCACAAUGGGCGCAAGCCUGAUGCAGCCAUGCCGCGUGUAUGAAGAAGGCCUUCGGGUUGUAAAGUACUUUCAGCGGGGAGGAAGGGAGUAAAGUUAAUACCUUUGCUCAUUGACGUUACCCGCAGAAGAAGCACCGGCUAACUCCGUGCCAGCAGCCGCGGCAAUACGGAGGGUGCAAGCGUUAAUCGGAAUUACUGGGCGUAAAGCGCACGCAGGCGGUUUGUUAAGUCAGAUGUGAAAUCCCCGGGCUCAACCUGGGAACUGCAUCUGAUACUGGCAAGCUUGAGUCUCGUAGAGGGGGGUAGAAUUCCAGGUGUAGCGGUGAAAUGCGUAGAGAUCUGGAGGAAUACCGGUGGCGAAGGCGGCCCCCUGGACGAAGACUGACGCUCAGGUGCGAAAGCGUGGGGAGCAAACAGGAUUAGAUACCCUGGUAGUCCACGCCGUAAACGAUGUCGACUUGGAGGUUGUGCCCUUGAGGCGUGGCUUCCGGAGCUAACGCGUUAAGUCGACCGCCUGGGGAGUACGGCCGCAAGGUUAAAACUUCAAAGGAAUUGACGGCNGNGAGNGCGAGACGACACGAGGAGAGG
rnacentral:rRNA from 1 species